rnacentral:rRNA from 1 species
UACGGAGGGGGCAAGCGUUAUUCGGAAUUAUUGGGCGUAAAGGGCGCGUAGGCGGCUCGAUGUGUCAAAGGUGAAAUCCCUCGGCUCAACUGAGGAACUGCCUUUGAAACUGUCUGGCUUGAGGCCGGGAGAGGGUAGCGGAAUUCCCAGUGUAGCGGUGAAAUGCGUAGAUAUUGGGAGGAACACCAGUGGCGAAGGCGGCUACCUGGACCGGUUCUGACGCUGAGGCGCGAAAGCGUGGGUAGCAAACAGG